UAUCCACUAACCAUCAUUAAACAGAGACAUGUCUUCUACAUAUUUUGAUUCAUUGUAUCUGUUCACCUACCCGUGAGAGGGCAGCAAGGUUGGUAACAAAUUUAUUAAUUUGAUGUUGUAUUUGCACUUAUAUUAUUUUUUUAAGCUCAGUGAAUUAGGUGUGCUUAUAUUGAAAUUGAACCAAGACUCCUCGUUUAUUUAUGUGAAAGAUGUCAAGCUGGGAAGAAUUGUGCAUGUGGAAUCAAUUAGGAAGGAACUCACGAAGCUUUUAUGGUUACUGCUCUAUCACAAUAAACAAUGUUAGCUAUCUUAUGGUGUGCUAGAUUGCUUGCUUAUCAU
rnacentral:lncRNA from 1 species